AGUUAGCUUUUUCUAAUGCGAUAACGAUAGUAAUGGAAAGCUUUUUGCUAGCGGUCGCUACCGAGCAAAAACUUGUAAUGCAUAGCGUGGUUUUGG
rnacentral:sRNA from 1 species